rnacentral:rRNA from 1 species
UGGGGAAUUUUGGACAAUGGGGGAAACCCUGAUCCAGCCAUCCCGCGUGUGCGAUGACGGCCUUCGGGUUGUAAAGCACUUUUGGCAGGAAAGAAACGUCAUGGGUUAAUACCCCGUGAAACUGACGGUACCUGCAGAAUAAGCACCGGCUAACUACGUGCCAGCAGCCGCGGUAAUACGUAGGGUGCAAGCGUUAAUCGGAAUUACUGGGCGUAAAGCGUGCGCAGGCGGUUCGGAAAGAAAGAUGUGAAAUCCCAGAGCUCAACUUUGGAACAGCAUUUUUAACUACCGGGCUAGAGUGUGUCAGAGGGAGGUGGAAUUCCGCGUGUAGCAGUGAAAUGCGUAGAUAUGCGGAGGAACACCGAUGGCGAAGGCAGCCUCCUGGGAUAACACUGACGCUCAUGCACGAAAGCGUGGGGAGCAAACAGG